GACGAACGCUGGCGGCGUGCCUAAUACAUGCAAGUUGAGCGCUGAAGGUUGGUACUUGUACCGACUGGAUGAGCAGCGAACGGGUGAGUAACGCGUGGGGAAUCUGCCUUUGAGCGGGGGACAACAUUUGGAAACGAAUGCUAAUACCGCUUAAAAACUUUAAACACAAGUUUUAAGUUUGAAAGAUGCAAUUGCAUCACUCAAAGAUGAUCCCGCGUUGUAUUAGCUAGUUGGUGAGGUAAAGGCUCACCAAGGCGAUGAUACAUAGCCGACCUGAGAGGGUGAUCGGCCACAUUGGGACUGAGACACGGCCCAAACUCCUACGGGAGGCAGCAGUAGGGAAUCUUCGGCAAUGGACGAAAGUCUGACCGAGCAACGCCGCGUGAGUGAAGAAGGUUUUCGGAUCGUAAAACUCUGUUGGUAGAGAAGAACGUUGGUGAGAGUGGAAAGCUCAUCAAGUGACGGUAACUACCCAGAAAGGGACGGCUAACUACGUG
rnacentral:rRNA from 1 species